rnacentral:rRNA from 1 species
GGAUGAGCCCGCGGCCUAUCAGCUUGUUGGUGAGGUAAUGGCUCACCAAGGCGACGACGGGUAGCCGGCCUGAGAGGGCGACCGGCCACACUGGGACUGAGACACGGCCCAGACUCCUACGGGAGGCAGCAGUGGGGAAUAUUGCACAAUGGGCGAAAGCCUGAUGCAGCGACGCCGCGUGAGGGAUGACGGCCUUCGGGUUGUAAACCUCUUUCAGCAGGGAAGAAGCGAAAGUGACGGUACCUGCAGAAGAAGCGCCGGCUAACUACGUGCCAGCAGCCGCGGUAAUACGUAGGGCGCAAGCGUUGUCCGGAAUUAUUGGGCGUAAAGAGCUCGUAGGCGGCUUGUCACGUCGGGUGUGAAAGCCCGGGGCUUAACCCCGGGUCUGCAUUCGAUACGGGCUAGCUAGAGUGUGGUAGGGGAGAUCGGAAUUCCUGGUGUAGCGGUGAAAUGCGCAGAUAUCAGGAGGAACACCGGUGGCGAAGGCGGAUCUCUGGGCCAUUACUGACGCUGAGGAGCGAAAGCGUGGGGAGCGAACAGGAUUAGAUACCCUGGUAGUCCACGCCGUAAACGGUGGGAACUAGGUGUUGGCGACAUUCCACGUCGUCGGUGCCGCAGCUAACGCAUUAAGUUCCCCGC